GGAGGGAGUUGUCUAGUGGUAUGAUUCUCGCUUGGGUUGCGAGAGGUCGUGGGUUCAUUUCCCGCAACUCCCCCCA
rnacentral:tRNA from 1 species